GCCGAUUGCGGCGUGCUUAACACAUGCAAGUCGAACGAUGAACUGGAGCUUGCUCCAGGAAUUAGUGGCGAACGGGUGAGUAACACGUGAGUAACCUGCCCUUGACUCUGGGAUAAGCGCUGGAAACGGCGUCUAAUACCGGAUACGAGCUUCAGCCGCAUGGCUAGGAGUUGGAAAGAAUUUCGGUCAAGGAUGGACUCGCGGCCUAUCAGCUAGUUGGUGAGGUAAUGGCUCACCAAGGCGACGACGGGUAGCCGGCCUGAGAGGGUGACCGGCCACACUGGGACUGAGACACGGCCCAGACUCCUACGGGAGGCAGCAGUGGGGAAUAUUGCACAAUGGGCGCAAGCCUGAUGCAGCAACGCCGCGUGAGGGAUGACGGCCUUCGGGUUGUAAACCUCUUUUAGUAGGGAAGAAGCGAAAGUGACGGUACCUGCAGAAAAAGCACCGGCUAACUACGUGCCAGCAGCCGCGGUAAUACGUAGGGUGCAAGCGUUGUCCGGAAUUAUUGGGCGUAAAGAGCUCGUAGGCGGUUUGUCGCGUCUGCUGUGAAAUCUGGGGGCUCAACCCCCAGCCUGCAGUGGGUACGGGCAGACUAGAGUGCGGUAGGGGAGAUUGGAAUUCCUGGUGUAGCGGUGGAAUGCGCAGAUAUCAGGAGGAACACCGAUGGCGAAGGCAGAUCUCUGGGCCGUAACUGACGCUGAGGAGCGAAAGCAUGGGGAGCGAACAGGAUUAGAUACCCUGGUAGUCCAUGCCGUAAACGUUGGGAACUAGAUGUGGGGGCCAUUCCACGGUCUCCGUGUCGCAGCUAACGCAUUAAGUUCCCCGCCUGGGGAGUACGGCCGCAAGGCUAAAACUCAAAGGAUUUGACGGGGGCCCGCACAAGCGGCGGAGCAUGCGGAUUAAUUCCAUGCAACGCCAAAGU
rnacentral:rRNA from 1 species